rnacentral:rRNA from 1 species
GUCCACGCCGUAAACGAUGGGUGCUAGGUGUGGGCGGUGUCAACUCCGUCCGUGCCGAAGCUAACGCAUUAAGCACCCCGCCUGGGGAGUACGGCCGCAAGGCUAAAACUCAAAGGAAUUGACGGGGGCCCGCACAAGCAGCGGAGCAUGUGGUUUAAUUCGACGCGACGCGAAGAACCUUACCAAGGCUUGACAUGCACUGGAAUGUCGUAGAAAUACGGCAGCCCUUCGGGGCCAGUGCACAGGUGGUGCAUGGCUGUCGU